CACAGGGGUGCAUACGCUUCAGGGGGUGGUGGGGACAGCCACAACAGAUGCCAGAGUGGAAAGGCUGGAGGGCAGGUGGGAUGCUGGAGAGGGACAGGCCAGGGGCCUGUUAUUAGUCCUUAGUCCUUGACUAAGGGCCUUAGUCCCUAGUCGAUCUGGCUCCCAAUCUACUAGGGGUGUGACCCUACAAAACCUCAGUGACUUUCAGGGCCUUCUUGGAUGCUAUUUUCACCAGGACAGCCAGGCUGCGACAGGAUGUGGGUCGGGACUCUGGGGACCGAAUUCCUUUCCUCAGAGUGGUGCAAUGGCUCUAUAGGUGUGGUGGCUGUGCGGAGGAAGUACAGAUGUGGGUGGCUCUGUUUCCUGUUGCCUCUGUGGCUGCUGAAAUGGUAGGCCCCAGCUGGACUUCCCCCUCCCCUACAUCUCCUAGGUUGCAGGGGCUGCACCGGCCCCCCACCUCCUCCUGGGGUCCCCUAGAGUUCCUGAGAUUCCCAAGAAAAACUCACAGGACAUUCUGGGCAUUCCUGGUAUGACUCAGAACAAUAUCAAGCCACUAUUUUGCUUUAACAACAAACUACAUUCAGAACACAUUGGUAAGCCUAAAAAUAACGCGAAAGCUCAUCUCAUCGAACUCCUGUCCCCACCCCUGUACUCUUACAGGUGGAGAUAGUGAGGCCCAGAAAAGUCAGAUGACUUGGCCCACGGAGAUCACAUCAAGCGGACCCAGGACCACUCAGAUACGCUGGGGCCAAGGCUUUUUCAGAGAGCUGAUGGGCACGGGAUGGUCGGCAGUGGAAAGGGCUGGUGGAAGCCCAGGGGAGGAUGCCAAGAAGCAACUAGAGGGAAAAGAGUUUGCUGAGGAAAAUAGUGCUGGAGGCUCUCAGCCAGUGGGGCUAAGGCAUGGAGAAGUGAAAGCCAGGUGGGCUGGGCACGUAUGGGGUGCAGCAGCCCAGGGGGAGACAAGGGGCCCAGGAGAUAGAACCACAGCACCAGGCGGACCUGGGCUGAGAGAAUAAGGCAGGAAUCCUGGCAUGGCCAGCCGGGAGUACGCAACAAGAAGCCCGGCCUCUUGCCAGGUCACAUGGGGUGAGGCAGGUCAGAGGUCUAAUGAGGCAUUUCCUCUCUCUCUCUUCCUUGGGAUGGGACAGAAUAGGAACCUCUAUCCCGCCCGCCCCGCAAGAUCCAGCAGGAGGAACGGACUGUAAGGACGACUCGGUGUUUACUUUGUGCCUAGCACCUAGAGGCAGCUGUUACCACUCCCGUUUUACAGGUGGCUCUGAGGCUCACAGGAAGUGCCUGGCAGAUGGUGGCUGUUGUCACUAACACCACACCCUCUUGCUCAUCACUGGCUCAGUGUGCUCACUCACCAUGCCCUCUGAGACGCCUUGCCAGGAGCCCCUCUCCUGGAGACUAAGCCUCCCGAGUCCCUGGAGCCUGCGGGCCUUGGCACAGGCUGUUGUCCUUUUCCAUUUGCUGGUCUUGCCAGCCACAAGGGCACUCCUUGAAUGCAGGCUAGAGCAUCCAGCCCUAGUGGGUGCUCAGGAAGCACAUUCUGGAUCCAUCCCUCCAUCCCGCCAACAUGUCCGGAGCGUCCAAGCUCUGCAAGGCCCUGGGAAUCAUGGGUAUCCCCAUACCCAGAGUCCUUCCCCCCUCAAGAUCAUACUUGAAUGAAGGAGACAGGGUGACAGCAGGGACAAUGGCACGUGGUAAGUGCCACCGUGGAGGCUGCGGAGCCCAGAGGAGGGCCAGACCCUGCCACUCUCAGCAGGUGAGUGGUGGGCCUGCCCUGGGCUGGCUCAUCACCCCUGCAGGAAGGACACACGUGCUGCUGUGAAUACCAACGUGGUGCCCCGGGGCCCCAGCAGGCCUGUCCCCACCACCUCCCCCAAAGGCUGAACCAGAAAUAGACCCGCUAUCUCCACACACCUGCAAGCCUGGCCCUGCUCUGGGGACCUGCAUUCACUCUGCUCCUCAGGGGAACCAGUGGAAAGAAAACAAGGCCUCAGAGUCUGAUCACUGCCAGGGGAGACCACAACCAAUUCUCUGGCCCCCACGGUUGAGCAUCAUACUGCCUGUUCCCACCUCAUCCGUGCUCUGCACGGUCCUGGCAUGCCUGACUCUCUAGGCCUGGGCACCCAGGCACCCCCACCAAUAUGUGCGUGGGCCCAAGCCCUUGCCCACAGGCCAAGCACCGUGCUGGGCACUCUGGGGCCUGACAGGGGCCAAGCAGCCAUGCUCGUGGUCACCGAUCAGCCACCAUGCAGCAGCCUGCAAGAACCCCCACGUGCAUUGUGGCAUUCGGUGCUCUCAGGGGCCCGGGCGUCACACACCAUCUCCUCGCUCCACAGAUGAGGACACAGACUCUGAGAGGUGAAACAGUUUGCCCACACAGGUCCCCCACUCCUCAGCUGGAGCCUUUAACCCUGUCACCCCAAUGCAGAGCCCCUUCCCACAUGCUGGGCACAGUGCAGGUGGCACAGUCUUGGCCGCAGGCACUCGAGCAGGUACUCCAUGAGGUUGGGUUUGAGCUAAGCUUCCAAAGAGGGGACAAAAGAGGACCAGGCACUUCGGGGGACACAGCACAGGCCUGAUGGGGGGGCUGAGGGUGGGGAGGAGCCUAGCCUGCCUAGGGUCUAAUCCAGGCCAGUUCCAGGGACUCAAGGGAGGCUCAGGGAUGAGUGAAGACUGGAAACGGCACAGCUUCCGGGCAGGGGAGGGAAGAGGCUCCACCCAGGUGCAGGAGGCUGGGGCUUGGGAGGAAGGGUGCCAGGGGACAGGCAGAGGCUGCAGGGGGAGCGGGGAUGUAGGGGGAUGGCAGGAAGUUGCUGGUGAAGGGUCGGAGAGUGAGCAGCUUCACGGGGGACAGAGAAGGAGGAGGAGGAGCUCAGAGACGACUGAGAUGAUUGAGAGCAGGGAGCUCAGAGGGGACAAGGGGGAGUGAGGAGCUCUCAGCCCUGAGGCUCAACACCUGGCCAUGGGUCGUGACCAGAGUAGGACUGUCCCUUUCAUGUCUCCGCAUACCCCAAAGCACCUGGCAUCCUAUUUAAUGCUCAAUUUACCCGCGGGGAGGGUGGGAAAGGGUGAAUGAUCCAGCCUGAGGCCAAGUCCUUGCAAGGCUUCCCCUGUGCUGGGUCCCCUUAAAGGGCAGUGGACUGCCCUCCCCAAGGCAGGAGUCCUGCCUCUAGACUGGUUGGCCCAAUACAGAUGCCCUGGGCCACCCCCAACCGGUCUGCUGCCUGGAACCUGCGGGGAGUGGUAUCCAACAGAGGGAGAGCCAGAGAAACGAGCCAGGGUAUGGGGCCAGCAAAGGGCCGGUUUUGUGUACCCGAGGGCCCCGGGGGCAGAAGCAGCCUGGCACCUGGGGACAAAGCAGGGGGAGGAGAAGGAAUGGACCAGGAGGAAAAGCUGCUGGAGAUGAAAAGCAUCUCGUUCAUCUGGCAGAAGAGCUCAGUUGAGGCCCCUCCAUGUUGAAGAAUCAGGAAGCCAAAGGAAGGGGUGCUUGGGUGGCUCAGUCGGUUGAGUGUGUCUGACUCUUGAUUUCAGCUAUCAUGAUUUCAGUCGUGAGAUCGAGCCCCAUGUCAGGCUCUGCUCUGACAGUGUGGAGCCUGCUUGGGAUUCUCUCUCUCUCUCUCUCUCUCUCUCUCUCUCUGCCCUUUCCCCAUUCUGUCUCUCUCUCUCUCUCAAAAUAAAUAAAUAAACAUUUUAAAAAUAAAUAAAAAGAAAGCCAAAGGAAGAGGACACACAGAUGGAGUUUUGGCAGAGGGUUUUCACAAGUUGCUUUGGCUGUGAGGCACUCAGCUUCAGAGCCGGCCUCUUGUGGGCAUAAACAAACAACACAGAGCAGAGUGAAGUCAGCUCUGUUUCUGGCAGGAGAGGGUGGGAAUCCACAGGGCCAGGUCCGGAAACCAGCUGGCUGGUCUGACCCCCAAAGGAGCAGCAAGGCCCCCACUGGCCAGGAGGAAGCCUGCCCUCCAGCCAGCAGGGACAUGCGGGGGGCCCAGGGCAUGGUGCUGGCAGGCCUCUGGCCCUGGACCCCAGAAACGCCCUUACAGCAUCUGGCAGUCACCUUCCAGGGCUUGGCCUCUCACCGCAGGAGGGGGUGUCCCAGGGUCAUCCCCAAUUCCUCCUGUCAGCUCCCUAACGCACAAUCACCAAGGGCAUGGAUUCCACCCCCUAAAUCUCUGCCCUGCCCUUCCUCGCCCUGCCCGCCAGGAUCACCCUUCCACAGGACAUCAUCUCAUUGUCUGCCUGGAUGACUGUACCUACCUCCUAAAUAGGCUCUCAGCCUUAAGUCUUGCCCUCUUCACUCAACAGUCAGAGACUUAAGUGCCUCCGUUUUCCCAUCUAUAAAAUGGAACAAGCCCUGGCCCACGUCAAAGCUAUUCACGAAAAUGCUUUGCAAGCUCCACUUCCAAUGAGAAGUGACGUGUUUAGUAGAACAAAGCAGUGAGGGAGCUGUGCCCUAAGAUUUAGGGGGUCUGGCCAGGACGCAGGCCUGAAUGGGAGACAGGACUCCCAUGUUUUGAGUCUCAUUCUUCACUCAGCAACAAGCCUGUCUUGAAAUCAGGACAGUAUUGUCAUCUUCCAAACACUCCCCUCGGGAGCUAUGCUCAUCAGUGCUUCUAUGAGGCUGCCACUGCCAUCUGACUGUGUAGAACAAUAAAACCCCCUACUUGUUGGGCUGAUGAUAUGCAAGGUCAGUGCUAGGUGCUCUGCGUCUAACCCACUGACUCCUUCCAACUCUGCGGGGAAGGGUACACCAUCAUUUAUUGAUGGGGGACUGGAGGCUCAGAGGACAGAAGUCACGUGCCCAAGCCACACCUGGAAUGGGUGAUGGAAUGAAGAGAAGGGCCCCGGGCUGACUGACUCUGGAGCCUGGAGAAGUGUACCUUCUAGGCAAUCACCUCCAUGCUUUGAAGAGAAUGGACCCGGGCUUUCUAUGGCCCCAAAUCUAUGGGGUGCAGCCCUCUAGAUAUUAGCAGUCAAGUUAAAAAUAAAGACUGGUGGAAUCUCACGGAAACAGGUCCCUUUCAACGGUCUGGCUGGAAGUGAAGCUAAUAAAGGAGGUCCAAAGAGGGGACUGAGCCCUGGGACUGAGGGGCAGCUUCCAAAGCAGAGAAAUCGUUUUUGAAAAUCUUCUGGAUGGAUGAUAUUUUGUAAACUAUGGAGUGGAGCCUGAGACAAAGCCUGGGGUCUUGUUACAUCUUGUAUCUCAGGGUCCCUGGAGCCUUCGAAAGAUGAGCCAGGAGAGAGUUGGAGGCAAGACCACAGGAAGAAAGUGGUGGCGGGUUAGGUGGUCAGUGAUGGAGGCUGAGGCCUUUCCUCCCAGUUCUUGUGUCAGGAGCACGAAUGGCAUGGUCUCUGGACAGCUACUGGCCCAAAGGAAGGUGUUGUUGGAGAAUUCCCUUUGUAGGAGGGGCCAGGGGCAGACGCCCUACUCUACCUGGCUUCCAGAACUUCUUGGCUGUCAUCCAGUCUGUGUUGCCAUCCUCUGAGUCUGAGUUGUCUUCUGAGUCCUCCUGGUCCUCGGGCUCACCCACCCACUGCAGCCCGUAGUCACUGAGGAACCGCUGUGCAAAGAGAAGGGAAAGGUCCCAGGGGGCACAGUCAGUUCAGCCCCUCGGGGAACAGGCAGCAUCCACCCAGGCCCCAGCCUCAGGCCUCGGCUCCCAGAGUCAACUGGGCAGAAAAGAUGGGCCCCAGGGUCUUGGGAGCUUUCUGGCUGUGACCUUGGGAAGCCACUUCACCUCCUAGAGCCUCGGGCUCUUCCUUGGAAAGCAGAGAUGACAACGCCUGGCCCAUAAGCUUGUGAGGACCCAGGACGGUAAUUCAGGCCGAGUGCUUAAAGCAGGGUCUGGCAUGGAGGGCCGCACGGAAGGUGGCCCUGAUGGCAGCGGGGCACCCCAUGCAUCUGGCCUGAGCGGAGGAGCGGCAGGGACACGGGCUGCACAGGACUGAGGACGCGGUGAGCCACACGCAGCCUCUCUAGGGCCGGGCCUCACGUCCCCUCCACCACAGGAAAACUUCUGACUUGUCUACACUUCCUGUCACUGCUUCCUCAGCUCCUUCUCUCCUGAACCCACUCUACCCAGCCCCUUUCUCCACAACUGACUGGAACUGCGCGGGUGCGGCCACCAACAGCCUGCCUGGUGCCAAACCCAGCGGCCCUCUUCCGUCUUCAUCUCUUGCAACACACAUCACCCCUUCUCGGUUUCACAUUCCCAGCCGUCUUCGCUUAGACAUCUUGCCUCACUCAACACGAACUCAUCCCCAACGGUCACGACUCCGGGUCCCCCCCGCCUCCUAAACCUCUGCGCCUCCGGGUCUCAGUCAGUGGCAGCCCCUCCACCCGGGCCUCAGCCACGACCCUGAGAGGCCCGGGAGCGCCACCCGCAAAGCAGACUCAAAUCCAUCCUCUCUGCCCCAGCUCCUCAGGUUAGUCCCGAGGAGGGAAACACGGGGCAGGGCCCCACGUGGGAUAUAUGGGAGGGAGACCCAGACAGGCGGGCUCCCAGCCAGGUCCUGAGGGGCAGGCGCCUCUCUUACCUCCAUCUCCCCCACCUGCCGCUGCAGCUGCAAGCACGUGGUCUCCAGCUGCUUCUGCCGCUGCAGGGUGACCUUGCCUUCAGGGAAAGAUCAGGAAGGGUUCUGCCGCCCCAGCAAGGAGGCUGCCAGACCACCUCUGGCCUCGCCCGGCGUUCUGCCCUGAGGGUCAUCUGGAGAGGCUGCCCCUUGAGAACUCGAGGGGUCCCCUGAAAACUCUCCCCCUGACCUUGAGGCAGGGAUGCCUAGACUGACUCUCAGGAGACCGCCAGCCACCCCUCUCAGCCCCCCGACCCGGGGGCUCCUGAGGGCACCAUGUUCCCCGACAUGGCGCACCCUAUGCUCGGGGCUGGGCUAUGUCUGCAUUCGGGGGGACCCGGUCCCACAUAGGAGGGCACUGCCCUGAGUGCGUCAUUGCCUCUCUCCGGGCUCAGCUGUCCAGGCCUCACCAUAGGACUCAGCUUGAUGCUCUUGGAGCCCUGAUGUCCAGGAGCCACCGGCCCAAGGGAGGUGCCCCAGGAAGGCUGACCAGCCCACCGGGAAUGCCCCUUACCCUGGUGCUCCCGGAGGGUCUGCAACAUUUCCUCCAGGGCCCGUAUCUUCCGAUCCUACAGCAACAAGACAAGGGGGAGCAGGCAGGCCUGAGGGUUCCCAGAGCACAAGAGAACCCAUCUUCCAGAUGGGAAGAUCCAAACUUUUUGCCUCUGUGGGGCACCGGGGAGUUGAAAGACCCUGCCCCUGCCAUCCUUUGGCACAGCCGCUGCUCCUAUGCCUCAGAUAUCCUUGUGGUUCCACUGAAAUGGGGAUAGGCGUGGAGUGUGCCCAAGUGGCCCAGCGCUCAGCAGUCACUGCUGCCACGUGGUCCAAGGCUAGUGGCCUUACUCAGCUAUAGAGAAGACCCUUAGCUUCUCUGCUCAGCUCCCGGGGACCCAGAUCAGCCCCAGGCCAUACCUGGCCCUUGAACUGGGAAGUUCAGUGGAAGAGAUGGUCCUAGAACCCACCCACCCUGGCCUACUGUGGCAGUGAACUCACUGGCCUCCCCAGCCUGGGCCCCUCCACCCCUCAGACCAGACCCUGGGCCUACCCCCACCGCUGGGGGUCCCACCUUGGACAGCAGCUCAUCAGUCUGAGCCUUCACUUGCUGUUCCAGGUCCCGCAACUUCCUCGACAGGGUGGCCACCAGCUCCGAGUCAUGGAAUACAGGGACUACCAAACAGACAAAGUCCUGGAGCUGAGGCUGAAGUGUGGGGGUCCAGUGGAGGGGGGACAGGGGUCCGCAGAAGCAGAAAUAAGGGUGAUACUAACAGCUGCCACUUAGAUAAUAGGGACUGUCCUAAAUACUUCACACAUAUCAGCUCAUGCUGUCCUCACAAUGUGCCCCUGAGGAAAUGAACUGCUUUAGGAAACUGAGGCAGAGGUGCAGUGAGGUGUCCAAUGAGUAUGAGUGAGUGCUGUACCAUACAGGUCACAUGACCAGUGAAGCAUUUUCAGAAAGUCACCCUCAAUCAAAUGAAGCGCCUACACCUUGCCACCCCCACCCCCACCCCCCGUUUACAGGAACACAGCGGAGAGAGGAGCAAGUCCGCACCAACGACAAACAAGUACACAGACCCGCAUGGCCUGGCUCCUCACAGAGUCCGUGUCACUUUUUCAAAAGGCAAGGACUCUGUUCCACAGAGGUGUUAACAGUCAAAUGCAGUGCACGGCCCUGACCAGAACCUAGAUCAGGAAAAACAAUAGCUAUGAGCUACUUCGGAAGUCGGGAGAUCUGAGCGCAGAAGUGGUGCUCCACAGCAGUCCUGAGUCCUGCGCCUUCUUGGGUGCGGUCCCGGUCCCGGGGUCACGUGAGUCCUCCUUUGUAGGAGAUGCAUGCUGAAGUUUUUAGAGGUGAAAUGUCAUGAUAUCUAAAAUUGAUUUCUAAGCGGUUCCUCAAAAAAAGACAUUUACAUUCGUACAUAUGUGUAUAUGGACAGAGAGAAAACAAAUUAGUGGCCAAAUAUCACCAACUGUGGCAUCUAGAUAACAGACAUUUAUAUGGGUGUGCACUGUACCAUUAUUUUAAUUGCUUUGUAGGCUGCAAGUUCCUCAAAAUUAGAAAUUUGGGGAAAGGAAACAAGACGGCACAAAAACAGACACUCAGAUCAAUGGAACAGAAUAGAAAACCCAGAAAUGGACCCACACAUGUAAGGCCAACUAAUCUUUGACAAAGCAGGAAAGAAUAUCCUUGCUGAAGACAGUCUCUUCAGCAACUGGUGCUGGGAAAACUGGACAGCAACAUGCAGAAAAAUGAACCUGGACCAUUUUCUCACCCCAUACACAAAAAUAAACUCAAAACGGAUGAAAGACCUCAAUGUAAGACAGGAAGCCAUCAAAAUCCUCGAGGAGAAAGCAGACAAAAACCUCUUUGACCUCGGCCGCAGCAACUUCUUACCCCACACAUCUGCGGAGGCAAGGGAAACAAAAGCAAAAGUGAACUACUGGGACCUCAUCAAAAUAAAAAGCUUCUGCAACAGCGAAGGAAACAGUCAGCAAAACUAAAAGGCAACUGACAGAAUGGGAGAAGAUAUUUACAUACAACAACAUAUCAGAUAAAGGUUAGUAUUCUAUAAAGAACUUACCAAACUCAACAUCCAAAAAACAAAUAAUCCAGUGAAGAAAUGGGCAAAAGACACGAAUAGACAUUUCUCCAAAGAAGACAUCCAGAUGGCCAACCGACACAUGAAAAAAUGUUCAACAUCACUCAUCAUCAGGGGAAUACAAAUCAAAACCACAAUGAGAUACCACCUCACACCUGUCAGAAUGGCUAACAUGAGCAACUCAGGCAACAACAGAUGUUGGCGAGGAUGCGGAGAGAGAGGAUCUCUUUUGCAUUGUUGGUGGGAAUGCAAACUGGUGCAGCCAUUCUGAAAAAUAGUAUGGAGGUUCCUUAAAAAAUUAAAAAUAGAACUACUCUACAACCCAGCAAUUGCACUACUAGGUAUUUAUCCAAGGGAGACAGGUGUGCUGUUUCGAAGGGACACAUGUACCCCAAAGUUUAUAGCAGCACUAUCAGCAAUAGCCAAAGUAUGGAAAGAGCCCAAAUGUCCACCGAUGGAUGAAUGGAUAAAGAAGAUGUGGUGUGUAUAUAUAUACAAUGGAGUAUUACUCGGCAAUCAAAGAGAAUGAAAUCUUGCCUUUCGCAACUACGUGGAUGGAACUGGAGGGUAUUAUGCUAAGCGAAAUUAGUCAGAGAAAGACAAAUAUAUGACUUCAAGCAUAUGAGGACUUUAAGACACAGAACAGAUGAAUACAAGGGAAGGGAAGCAAAACUAAUAUAAAAACAGGGAGGGGGACAAAACAUAAGAGACUCUUAAAUAUGGAGAACAAACAGAGGGUGACUAGAGGGGUCCUGGGAGGCGGUACGGGCUAAAUGGGUAAGGGGCAUUAAGGAAUCUACUCCUGAAAUCAUUGUUGCACUAUAUGCUAACUAACUUGGAGGUAAAUUGAAAGAAAGAAAGAAAGAGAGAGAGAGAGAGAGAGAGAGAGAGAGAGAGAGAGAAAGAAAGAAAGAAAGAAAGAAAGAAAGAAA